rnacentral:rRNA from 1 species
GUGGGGAAUAUUGGACAAUGGGCGAAAGCCUGAUCCAGCCAUGCCGCGUGUGUGAAGAAGGUCUUCGGAUUGUAAAGCACUUUAAGUUGGGAGGAAGGGCAGUAAGUUAAUACCUUGCUGUUUUGACGUUACCGACAGAAUAAGCACCGGCUAACUUCGUGCCAGCAGCCGCGGUAAUACGAAGGGUGCAAGCGUUAAUCGGAAUUACUGGGCGUAAAGCGCGCGUAGGUGGUUUUGUAAGUUGGAGGUGAAAUCCCCGGGCUCAACCUGGGAACUGCCUCCAAAACUUCAUGACUAGAGUACGGUAGAGGGUAGUGGAAUUUCCUGUGUAGCGGUGACAUGCGUAGAUAUAGGAAGGAACACCAGUGGCGAAGGCGACUACCUGGACUGAUACUGACACUGAGGUGCGAAAGCGUGGGGAGCAAACAGGAUUAGAAACCCGAGUAGUCC